CCCUUAGAUGUUCUGGGCCGCACGCGCGCUACACUGAUGCAUUCAACGAGUUUCUUCCUGGUCCGAGAGGAAUGGGUAACCUUUUGAAAGUGCAUCGUGAUAGGGAUAGACUAUUGCAAUUAUUGGUCUUCAACGAGGAAUUCCUAGUAGACGUAGUUCAUCAGACUGCAUCGAUUACGUCCCUGCCCUUUGUACACACCGCCCGUCGCUCCUACCGAUUCAAUGCUCAGGUGAGCCAUUCGGACUUUCAUCAUGCUGGUUUCCAGUUUUGAUGAAGGAAAGUCUUGCGAACCUUAUCAUUUAGAGGAAGGAGAAGUCGUAACA
rnacentral:rRNA from 1 species